GAGCCUGUAGCGCAGCUUGGAUAGCGCGAGUGCCUCCUAAGCACUAGGCCGGGAGUUCAAAUCUCCCCAGGCUCG
rnacentral:tRNA from 1 species